rfam:Ixodes scapularis strain Wikel colony gcontig_1108379105322, whole genome shotgun sequence.
GCAGUCGUGGCCGAGUGGUUAAGGCGAUGGACUAGAAAUCGAUUGAGGUCUCCCCAUACAGGUUCAAAUCUUGUCGACUGCG